AGUGAACGCUGGCGGUAGGCCUAACACAUGCAAGUCGAACGGCAGCACAGUAAGAGCUUGCUCUUGCGGGUGGCGAGUGGCGGACGGGUGAGGAAUACAUCGGAAUCUACUUUUUCGUGGGGGAUAACGUAGGGAAACUUACGCUAAUACCGCAUACGACCUACGGGUGAAAGCAGGGGAUCUUCGGACCUUGCGCGAUUGAAUGAGCCGAUGUCGGAUUAGCUAGUUGGCGGGGUAAGGGCCCACCAAGGCGACGCUCCGUAGCUGGUCUGAGAGGAUGAUCAGCCACACUGGAACUGAGACACGGUCCGUACUCCUACGGGAGGCAGCAGUGGGGAAUAUUGGACAAUGGGCGCAAGCCUGAUCCAGCCAUACCGCGUGGGUGAAGAAGGCCUUCGGGUUGUAAAGCCCUUUUGUUGGGAAAGAAAAGCAGCAGGUUAAUACCCCGCUGUUCUGACGGUACCCAAAGAAUAAGCACCGGCUAACUUCGUG
rnacentral:rRNA from 1 species